CGCCAGACUCCUACGGGAGGCAGCAGUGGGGAAUAUUGCACAAUGGGGGAAACCCUGAUGCAGCAACGCCGCGUGGGUGAAGGAGCGUUUCGGCGCGUAAAGCCCCCUCGGCAGGGAAGAAGGAGGACGGUACCUGACUAAGAAGCCCCGGCUAACUACGUGCCAGCAGCCGCGGUAAUACGUAGGGGGCAAGCGUUAUCCGGAUUUACUGGGUGUAAAGGGGGCGCAGACGGCAGCGCAAGCCAGGAGUGAAAGCCCGGGGCCCAACCCCGGGACUGCUCUUGGAACUGCGCGGCUGGAGUGCAGGAGGGGCAGGCGGAAUUCCUGGUGUAGCGGUGAAAUGCGUAGAUAUCAGGAGGAACACCGGUGGCGAAGGCGGCCUGCUGGACUGCGACUGACGUUGAGGCCCGAAAGCGUGGGGAGCAAACAGGAUUAGAUACCCUCGUAU
rnacentral:rRNA from 1 species